GAGCCAGUGUGUUGUAGUGGUUUAAGCAUUGGACUAUGACUCUGGAGACCAGGGUUCAAGUCCCUGUUCAUCCA